UGUGUUGAAAAGCUGAAACCACUAUUAGAGGAGAGGAAGCACAGUGGGAGGAGCAAGAAGAGGGGACUCCCAGGGGAGCCAGGAAGGAGGAAGAUCCUGAGGGAAGCAGGUGGAAGGAUCAGCCUUGAAGCAAGGAGUCCUGCCCCAUCCCCCCGGAGAUGGGAGGCAGGAAGGAACGGAAGGAUGCAGAUAAGUUUGCAGGUGGCAAAGGAGAAAACACAGCAAGUUAAGGAAGUUCCUGUUGGACGGCUUCUGUUUUCUCUAUUGAGGAGACAGGAAGUGGUGAGGGCUCAUAAAGCAACCAGAGUAAGCCAAGGGACAACCAGACGAUGGCGACAAUGUAAUGAGGAGACAGGGGGAAAAUAAAAGAAUCAGUCAGUUCUUGAAGUGUAUGCUUCCAUAUCUGUGUUCAGAGACAUAAAUUGUGAAGACGUGUGAUCAUCAAGAAAUGUAACUCCACACACCCAGCUUUUCUCCCAGAAUGGAAAAAGCAUUGUUCAACUGGACACUGUCUUUGUAUUCAGAUGAUAUUUUUACUAAUGAAGAGCAGCUUGUAUGCUGGCACCUCUACAGACAGUAGCCACCCUCUAACAUCAUAAUCCUGUCUCGUUAUCUGCAAGUUGCAUUCCUUGACCAAUUUUCUUCAUGGGGCUCACUAUCUGAAGUUAUGCUUUUUAAAAAAAUCUGUGGAUUUCCUGUUUCUUCUCCUGGCAACCUACCCUCCGCCCUUUUAUGUAAGCUCUAUGGAGGGCAGGAUUCUUGUUUGUUUUAUUUUAUUCUACACUUGGUAUCUCAAAGAAUGUCAAGACCAUAGCAGGUUCUCAAUAAAUAUAUGGCAGAUAAAUGAAUGGGGAAAUGAAUGAA